GACCAUGUGCGAGACUUCUGGCGUCUCGAAAGCUUUCUUGAGGCUUUUUAGGGCGAUCUGUUCAUUUCAGAUCAGGGUUUC
rnacentral:tRNA from 1 species